rnacentral:pre_miRNA from 1 species
CUGUGCUGGGGUCUCAGCAGGCCGUGCUCAGGGGUGUCUGUACCGUGGCCUAGGCUCUGCUCCCCUCAUCCUCCUCUCUCAGGGUACAGGUGA